UACGUAGGGCGCAAGCGUUAUCCGGAAUUAUUGGGCGUAAAGAGCUCGUAGGCGGUUUGUCGCGUCUGCCGUGAAAACCCGAGGCUCAACCUCGGGCCUGCAGUGGGUACGGGCAGACUGGAGUGCGGUAGGGGAGAUUGGAAUUCCUGGUGUAGCGGUGGAAUGCGCAGAUAUCAGGAGGAACACCAAUGGCGAAGGCAGAUCUCUGGGCCGUAACUGACGCUGAGGAGCGAAAGCAUGGGGAGCGAACAGG
rnacentral:rRNA from 1 species